UACAGAGGUCUCAAGCGUUGUUCGGAAUUACUGGGCGUAAAGGGCUCGUAGGUGGCCAACUAAGUCAGACGUGAAAUCCCUCGGCUUAACCGGGGAACUGCGUCUGAUACUGGAUGGCUUGAGUUUGGGAGAGGGAUGCGGAAUUCCAGGUGUAGCGGUGAUAUGCGUAGAUAUCUGGAGGAACACCGGUGGCGAAGGCGGCAUCCUGGACCAAUACUGACACUGAGGAGCGAAAGCCAGGGGAGCAAACGGG
rnacentral:rRNA from 1 species